rnacentral:rRNA from 1 species
AACGAACGCUGGCGGCAGGCUUAACACAUGCAAGUCGAGCGCCCCGCAAGGGGAGCGGCAGACGGGUGAGUAACACGUGGGAACGUACCUUUUGCUACGGAAUAGCUCCGGGAAACUGGAAUUAAUACCGUAUGUGCCCUUCGGGGGAAAGAUUUAUCGGCAAAAGAUCGGCCCGCGUCUGAUUAGCUAGUUGGUGGGGUAAUGGCCUACCAAGGCGACGAUCAGUAGCUGGUCUGAGAGGAUGAUCAGCCACACUGGGACUGAGACACGGCCCAGACUCCUACGGGAGGCAGCAGUGGGGAAUAUUGGACAAUGGGCGCAAGCCUGAUCCAGCCAUGCCGCGUGAGUGAUGAAGGCCUUAGGGUUGUAAAGCUCUUUCGCUAGGGAAGAUAAUGACGGUACCUAGAGAAGAAGCCCCGGCCAACUACGUGCCAGCCGCCGCAGUAAAAC